AGUAACAGGGCAUGUUGUCUGGCCGUCUGGAUGGAUGAUUGCAUGGCUGGCUGCUUGGCAGACUGUCAGCCCACCUCUGGCUCUCUCUCACUCCGCCUUACUCUGUCCUUCAGGCUUGUGCUCUCUGCCUCAUGGUACAUUUAUUCAGAGAGAUGAUUCUGAGGAAAGGAGUUAUUACCUACUUACAAGAAUCUCUUUUGUUGUAGAUUCGAUUGAAAGUGAUAAUCAACUGGAGCGGCAACUCACCUUUUACGAUCGUCUGUGAAAAAAAGGUAAAGAAGACAAUCACCAACAGUGUCUCUGUAACUGCUCUGUGUUUAUUAUGGCUGAAGAAGACCUCUUCAUUAUAUGGCCUGGAGGCAUAGUGGUGCUUGCACAACUGCUGUGAUGAGUGAAAUGAUUUCCACACUGCUUCCCGCUACUUCUUUUUGCAGGGAUUGAACCCUGUGGACAUCUGUGCAUGAGAGAGACAGAGUACCGGCCCUGGAGAGUCUCAUCCUGCUGUUAAAGCUAUUGUGCCCUUCAGAGUUUCCAUAUGUUCUUCACUAUUGACAAGAUCUGACCGACAUCAGUCAAUAUGAUUCGUAUUUUCUGUUCUCUGGGCUAAGGUUAAGACGAUAUCUGCCUGUGUUUGCAUUAAUGCAUGCAAGCACACAUAAAUGCUUCUCCUGCAACAAGAACAAGCGUAACUUUUACUAUAUUGAUGAACCAGGCUUGUGACAAUACAGUCAGUACAUGUUGCAUAAUACAUGUUUUUGUUGUAAACAGACACAAAGUAUACACUGUUUUACACUUCUACUUACACUAUAAGUAGAAGAGUGUUAUAUAGAAUAUCCCCAGUACAGAGGAUAUCAGCUCUUCCUUUAAGGAGGGGUUCAUUGAGAGCAACAGUUAAGGUUUAGAGUGAGGAUAAAGGCCAGUUUAAGGUCAUGACUAACCCAUAAAAAUCACAGUGCUGACUUAGGUUUCAGAAUCAUCCCCCUUAACCUGUUGUCUGGAACUUUGCCAUCAUGGUCAAAAUCAUGUAAAGACAGAUGCAUCAGUUUCCAUUUGAGAUAUGCAAAAAUUUUGUAGAGUAGUUUUCCACGUGGUGCUGGAUUCACAACGAGUCUUUCCUCAUAUUGUUAAGAUCUGUUCCCUCUAAACUGUACCAUGGUGCCACAAGCAGCUGCAGAAUGGGAAAGGUCUAGCUUAUUACGAGGAACAGGAUAAAAACAAUUUCAUUCACAGUUUUGGUUAUUUACAAUCUACAUCAGUAGAGAUACAUUACAGAUACAUACAGCAGUAUCCUUUAUGUGGCAAAGCCAAACGUGUGGAGGUUGAGUUGUUGAAGUGUUUUAGCUCCCUAACCCUAACCGUACCAUAGUUUGCAUGCAAAGAUAUUGUAGAAAGUGAGAAAUCUUAGAAACAUUGGCAUUGAAUGUAAAAAAAAAAAAAAAAA